UUGCUCUGAUUUGGUCAGCGGCGGACGGGUGAGUAACACGUGGGCAACCUGCCCGCAAGACCGGGAUAACUCCGGGAAACCGGAGCUAAUACCGGAUAACACCGAAGACCGCAUGGUCUUUGGUUGAAAGGCGGCCUUUGGCUGUCACUUGCGGAUGGGCCCGCGGCGCAUUAACUAGUUGGUGAGGUAACGGCUCACCAAGGCGACGAUGCGUAACCGGCCUGAGAGGGUGACCGGCCACACUGGGACUGAGACACGGCCCAGACUCCUACGGGAGGCAGCAGUAGGGAAUCUUCCGCAAUGGGCGAAAGCCUGACGGAGCGACGCCGCGUGAGCGAAGAAGGCCUUCGGGUCGUAAAGCUCUGUUGUGAGGGACGAAGGAGCGCCGUUCGAAGAAGGCGGCGCGGUGACGGUACCUCACGAGGAAGCCCCGGCUAACUACGUGCCAGCAGCCGCGGUAAUACGUAAGGGGCGAGCGUUGUCCGGAAUUAUUGGGCGUAAAGCGCGCGCAGGCGGUUCCUUAAGUCUGAUGUGAAAGCCCACGGCUCAACCGUGGAGGGUCAUUGGAAACUGGGGGACUUGAGUGCAGGAGAGGAGAGCGGAUUUCCACGUGUAGCGGUGAAAUGCGUAGAGAUGUGGAGGAACACCAGUGGCGAAGGCGGCUCUCUGGCUUGCAACUGACGCUGAGGCGCGAAAGCGUGGGGAGCAACCAGGAUUAGAUACCCUGGUAGUCCACGCCGUAAACGAUGAGUGCUAAGUGUUAGAGGGGUCACACCCUUUAGUGCUGCAGCUAACGCGAUAAGCACUCCGCCUGGGGAGUACGGCCGCAAGGCUGAAACUCAAAGGAAUUGACGGGGGCCCGCACAAGCGGUGGAGCAUGUGGUUUAAUUCGAAGCAACGCGAAGAACCUUACCAGGUCUUGACAUCCCCUGACAACCCAAGAGAUUGGGCGUUCCCCCUUCGGGGGGACAGGGUGACAGGUGGUGCAUGGUUGUCGUCAGCUCGUGUCGUGAGAUGUUGGGUUAAGUCCCGCAACGAGCGCAACCCUCGCCUCUAGUUGCCAGCACGAAGGUGGGCACUCUAGAGGGACUGCCGGCGACAAGUCGGAGGAAGGUGGGGAUGACGUCAAAUCAUCAUGCCCCUUAUGACCUGGGCUACACACGUGCUACAAUGGGCGGUACAAAGGGCUGCGAACCCGCGAGGGGGAGCGAAUCCCAAAAAGCCGCUCUCAGUUCGGAUUGCAGGCUGCAACUCGCCUGCAUGAAGCCGGAAUCG
rnacentral:rRNA from 1 species